UGCACUUUUUCCGGCCUUUUUAUUUGGAAUUUAGCUUUCUCGAAUAAACAAAAUAUAACAGCGUGAAUUCUGAUUACAAUAAAUAACAAGAACAAACGAAUUGAAACAAAUUAGUUAUUUUUAUAAGCCCAACCAUAUUCUGGCAGCAAUUAUUUUCAUAUACAACUACAAAUGCUGUGGGCAUCCACUCCAAUCCAUUCCAAUGGUCAACAGCCACUCGGACGUACAAAUAUCCGCAGACAGAUACAGAAAGUGUUCCGCCAAAGGGCUAUUCAAGCCGUCAUUCAGGCCGGCAGAGGUAAACAGCAUACCCAAAAGCCCUUGUGCUGCGUAGAUAAAGCUGAACUAUGACCUAUGCCUCGAACAGGGAUUUCGGAAAACGGAAAGGAUUUCUCUUCAGCAGAACGAUUGAGCGGCAGCUAAUAUUUUUGCCCUUUUUUGUGGGCCAACAACGGCGAGUUGAGGAACAAUAAUAGCUGCGGCAACAGCAGGACACAUAUUGCGAUGAUGGGGCCGCAUGGGGCGUAGGAGCAUUUUUAGUUUGGCCUUUUCGCAGACGAUGAUGUGAUGUGAGAUUGGGGCCCAAACGCUGCCAUAACUCUGAAGAAGCCGUGGCGAAUGAAAUGAAAUAUGAAGGGGCUUGGCUUGGCCAUCAAGUGAACAGAUCCUUUUCAGUAGUUCGCAGUGCUUGGGGUCCAUAAUCGCUGGGACUUCAAGAUUUUCGGCUGGAAAAGGCAAAUAAAUUGAAUCUCCUCGAGAUAGUACCCCCUUAUCAUGGUUUUUCAUUUUCCACCUUCUAGAUGUCUUCAUUCCAUUGUGACCACUUUUGCCGGAUUGUGUAGACCAUGAUUGAGAAGUGGUUGGCUUUCGAAUGUUUGCCAUUUCAUUUAUCAAAGUGUCGUUUUGUCCGGGGUCCUCGAACUUGCCAUUUCUGCGACCUGUCACGUAUAACUAUUUCUGAUUUCAGACAUUAAAUCAUUGACAGUUGCUUAUGUUUUCAAUGGCUUUUCUAUUGC